rnacentral:rRNA from 1 species
AGUGAACGCUGGCGGUAGGCCUAACACAUGCAAGUCGAACGGCAGCACAGUAAGAGCUUGCUCUUACGGGUGGCGAGUGGCGGACGGGUGAGGAAUACAUCGGAAUCUACUUUUUCGUGGGGGAUAACGUAGGGAGACUUACGCUAAUACCGCAUACGACCUACGGGUGAAAGCAGGGGAUCUUCGGACCUUGCGCGAUUGAAUGAGCCGAUGUCGGAUUAGCUAGUUGGCGGGGUAAAGGCCCACCAAGGCGACGAUCCGUAGCUGGUCUGAGAGGAUGAUCAGCCACACUGGAACAGAGAGACGGGCCAGACUCGUACGGGGGGCAGCAGUGGGGAAUAAUGGACGAUGGGCGCAAGCCUGAUCCAGCCAUACCGCGUGGGUGAAGAAGGCCUUCGGGUGGUAAAGCCCUUUUGUUGGGAAAGAAAAGCAGCAGGUUAAUACGCCGCUGUUCUGACGGUACCCAGAGAAUAAGCACCGGCUAACUUCG